GCCGAGGUGGCGAAAUUGGCAGACGCGGCGGAUUCAAGCUCCGCUUCCAUUACGGAGUGAGGGUUCGAGUCCCUCCCUCGGCACCA
rnacentral:tRNA from 1 species